UCUCGAUAGAAGUUAUCCAAAUGAUUGUUUUCCACAUAUUUAAGACAUUUUAAAUAAUGAAUAUUAAGGGUGUUCGAGAUUACUUUUAGCUAAAAGUAUUUUCUCAUGAUACUCUUCAACAAAAUCCAUAACUUUUCUUUUAAAAGUUAUUAGAUAGCUUGUUAGUAAUACUAUUAUCAGUUUAACUGGUACAUCGACUGAUUCCGUGGUUUAUCUACCAAAUGUACAACUAUAUAAUCCUAGCUGUAAAGAUAACCUGUGUGUGUUUGAUUGUUCGAGAGAAAAACCACAUUGGGCCAUCUGCUGUGUCCACCACGGGGAAUCGAACUCUUGAUUUUACCGUUGUAAGUCCAAAACCUUAACGCUGUCCCACCGGGGAACAUGUGCUGUAUGAUCGGGCUUGAUCUCUCUAAACGUUGGAUCUCGGCCAAAGUUACAAGUGACAUUCAAAAAGCACAAGAGAAGCAGAAAAAUGAAGUAUAAGAAAAGUAGGGAAAAGAGGGGAGGGUAAAAUGUGUCAGUUUCAACCCUGUGACGAGGUGCUAAGCAGAAAUACUGACCGAGAAAGGCCAUAAACUAGAGUAUUCGUGGAAAGGUCAAUAUGAAACUGUUGGGAUUACCAACAAAGGGGUGGCCAGACUGACAAUGAACGAAAAUAAGAAAUCUCGGUUUUGGCUGUUCGCCGGUUUUCGACUUUGAGACACUCUGGAUACCUGAAAAGUGGCAUAUACACCGGAGAUAGGGCUACUAUGCCAAGUAGCUCUUCAUAUCUAGCUUCUGAUGACUUUUGUAUUGCUUUAAUAUGGAAUGCUAGCGCAUUUUCCGAUACUUUUACUCUGUAAUGAGUAAAGGAUUCAAACAUAUCGCAUAUUUUACAUUUUCAAAUAUAAUAUUCUUUCACCAAUAUAAAACUCCAAUAAGCAGAUAUCGUUAAUAUAUGUUAGUUAAUUCAUAGGCUUAACGAGACUGAAACAAGUAUUAACGAAAUUUCAAGUUUUAAAUACACGAUAAUCAAUUGAAAUAAAUAACACAGCAUUACCUUUAAGCGUUCUUCUGUUUGUAAGUAACGACAUACAUAUCCUUUUAACAAAAAAUAUAGGACACACAUGGUUCUACUAAAUACAGUCUGCCAUUACGUCAUGUUAUUUUACGAGAACUUUUCGACUCUAGCAAAUUGUAAGGAACAAACAAACACACACACACACACUAUUUUUGAUUUAAUGUAGCAAAUUUCUAAUCCUGGUAGCAACUUCCUGUGAAGGUUUGCCAAAAACAUCCUGCUCGUCAAUGUUACGUCAUCAACGUUGUGAGUUUUCACUUCUAGAUUUAAUCAUAUGUCCUAAAAACUUACAAGUAAAUUAUUUUCUGAACGAAACCGUUAGUAUAGCUGAUUGUGCAUUCAGUUAAUAAAUAAUUGAUCACGUGUCAUAAAAGUUUUGUAUACUUUACCAGUAAAAUCAU